GAUGAACGCUGGCGGCGUGCCUAAUACAUGCAAGUCGAGCGAACGGACGAGAAGCUUGCUUCUCUGAUGUUAGCGGCGGACGGGUGAGUAACACGUGGAUAACCUACCUAUAAGACUGGGAUAACUUCGGGAAACCGGAGCUAAUACCGGAUAAUAUUUUGAACCGCAUGGUUCAAAAGUGAAAGACGGUCUUGCUGUCACUUAUAGAUGGAUCCGCGCUGCAUUAGCUAGUUGGUAAGGUAACGGCUUACCAAGGCAACGAUGCAUAGCCGACCUGAGAGGGGGGGCGCCCAACGGGGAACUGAAACAGGGGCCAGACCCCAAGGGGGGGAAGAAGGAGGGAAUUUUCCGAAAGGGGGGAAAGCCUGACGGGGAAACGCCGGGGGGGUAAGGAAGGUCUGGGGUUGGAAAAACUUUUUUAUUGGGGAAGAACAUAUGGGUAAGUAACGGUGCACAUCUUGACGGUACCAAAGAAGAAAGCCACGGCUAACUAGGU
rnacentral:rRNA from 1 species